GCUUUUGGUUCAGUGGUAGAAUACUCGCCUGCCACGCGGGCGACCCAGGUUCGAUUCCCGGUCGAUGCU
rnacentral:tRNA from 1 species